rnacentral:rRNA from 1 species
GGUCCAGACUUUGAUCCUGGCUCAGGACGAACGCUGGCGGCGUGCCUAACACAUGCAAGUCGAACGGAGCAAAGCCCUUCGGGACUUUACUUAGUGGCGAACGGGUGAGUAACGCGUGAGGAACCUGCCUUCCAGUGGGGGGACAACAGUUGGAAACGACUGCUAAUACCGCAUGAUGCUUUUGAGGGACAUCCCUUAAAAGCCAAAGCUUUAUGUGCUGGAAGAUGGCCUCGCGUCUGAUUAGCUAGUUGGUGGAGUAACGGCCCACCAAGGCGACGAUCAGUAGCCGGUCUGAGAGGAUGAACGGCCACAUUGGGACUGAGAUACGGCCCAGACUCCUACGGGAGGCAGCAGUGGGGAAUAUUGGGCAAUGGGCGAAAGCCUGACCCAGCAACGCCGCGUGAAGGAAGAAGGCCUUCGGGUUGUAAACUUCUUUUACCAGGGACGAAGGACGUGACGGUACCUGGAGAAAAAGCAACGGCUAACUACGUGCCAGCAGCCGCGGUAAUACGUAGGUUGCAAGCGUUGUCCGGAUUUACUGGGUGUAAAGGGCGUGUAGGCGGAGAUGCAAGUUAGGAGUGAAAUCUAUGGGCUCAACCCAUAAACUGCUUCUAAAACUGUAUCCCUUGAGUAUCGGAGAGGCAAGCGGAAUUCCUAGUGUAGCGGUGAAAUGCGUAGAUAUUAGGAGGAACACCAGUGGCGAAGGCGGCUUGCUGGACGACAACUGACGCUGAGGCGCGAAAGCGUGGGGAGCAAACAGGAUUAGAUACCCUGGUAGUCCACGCUGUAAACGAUGAAUACUAGGUGUGGGAGGACUGACCCCUUCCGUGCCGCAGUUAACACA